rnacentral:tRNA from 2 species
UCCCCUGUGGUGUAAUCGGCAGCACAGCAGCCUUUGGAGCUGUUUGUCAAGGUUCGAGUCCUUGCAGGGGAG